UGGCUGGCGAGUAAAGAAUGGGUCAUGGGAAUGGCACGUCUCAGAAUGGAAGUCAGUUGAUGAUUUCAAGCGCUUUUUGCUUCAAAGCGCCCGCUGACGACGGUGUGGAGAGGAGAUGCCGGGGGUGUUGCGGGGCAGGAUCCGGACAUGGAGAAGCUGCAUGUGGAAAAGCCCUGUCGGGCCACAGUCCUGGAGACAAGACGCAGAGGGAGCGAUACCACGGGAAGCUUGGGGACAA